UACGGAGGGUGCGAGCGUUGUCCGGAAUCAUUGGGGCGUAAAGGGCGCGUAGGUGGCCCGGUCAGUUCGUGGUGAAAGCGCGGGGGCUCAACCUCCGCGUCGGCCAUGAAUACUGCUGGGCUGGAGCACUGUAGAGGCAGGCGGAAUUCCGGGUGUAGCGGUGGAAUGCGUAGAGAUCCGGAAGAACACCGGUGGCGAAGGCGGCCAUCGUCGGACCGCAAUGGACCGCUGAGGC
rnacentral:rRNA from 1 species